ACGGGCUUAUGUACGAUCAGUGGGUACGUACACAUUUUUGUAAAUAGGAUUGAUGCACUUUAUCAUUUACAUAUGGUCCCUAUACACCAUAACUACUUGAACAUAAUUCUUACAGGAUACCUCCAGUAAACAUCCAUUUAAAACGGAAGAAUAAAGGUGAACAUUGUGCAAAAAACACAAACAGGAACUCUUUGUACAAAUAUUCCACUGACCUCCCAUGACUCUGAGAUUAUAUUGAGUAAAAACAUUAAAAUUCACACAGAUACGACAGUUAGAGUCUUGUCACAGUACAUUCUCACAGGCGCCUGCUUCA